GACGAACGCUGGCGGCGUGCUUAACACAUGCAAGUCGAACGGAAAGGCCCUGCUUUUGUGGGGUGCUCGAGUGGCGAACGGGUGAGUAACACGUGAGUAACCUGCCCUUGACUUUGGGAUAACUUCAGGAAACUGGUGCUAAUACCGGAUAGGAGCUCCUGCUGCAUGGUGGGGGUUGGAAAGUUUCGGCGGUUGGGGAUGGACUCGCGGCUUAUCAGCUUGUUGGUGGGGUAGUGGCUUACCAAGGCUUUGACGGGUAGCCGGCCUGAGAGGGUGACCGGCCACAUUGGGCCUGAGAUACGGCCCAGUCUCCUACGGGAGGCAGCAGUGGGGAAUAUUGCACAAUGGGCGGAAGCCUGAUGCAGCAACGCCGCGUUCGGGAUGACGGCCUUCGGGUUGUAAACCGCUUUCGCCUGUGACGAAGCGUGAGUGACGGUAAUGGGUAAAGAAGCACCGGCUAACUACGUG
rnacentral:rRNA from 1 species